rnacentral:rRNA from 1 species
UAGGGAAUCUUCGGCAAUGGACGAAAGUCUGACCGAGCAACGCCGCGUGAGUGAAGAAGGUUUUCGGAUCGUAAAACUCUGUUGUUAGAGAAGAACAAGGACGUUAGUAACUGAACGUCCCCUGACGGUAUCUAACCAGAAAGCCACGGCUAACUACGUGCCAGCAGCCGCGGUAAUACGUAGGUGGCAAGCGUUGUCCGGAUUUAUUGGGCGUAAAGCGAGCGCAGGCGGUUUCUUAAGUCUGAUGUGAAAGCCCCCGGCUCAACCGGGGAGGGUGAUUGGAAAAUGGGAGACGUGAGUGCAGAAGAGGAGAGUGGAAUUCCAUGUGUAGCGGUGAAAUGCAUAGAUAUAUGGAGGAACACCAGUGGCGAAGGGGGCUCUCUGGGCUGUAACUGACGCUGGGGCUCGAAAGCGUGGGGAGCAAACAGG